CUGACAUAGCAGGCAGACUCAGAAUAUAAACAGGAAAUCACUCUCUUGCUCUUGCUCUUCCUCCUGCUCUCUGCUCUGAAGCCGCCAUGUGAUCCCAGGAAGAUGACGCCAGCGGAAGGAGUCCUCUGACAUGGCUGCUGCACUCGUGAAAUUACAGCAGCUGUGGUUAUCUACACAAGGCCUGCAUAAGAUCGAGCCAGUCAACAUUCCAACGGUGGAUGGAAGAGAGGAUCAUAGGCCUCACCUCUAGCUGAGGAACUAUUGAGGGCAGAUAAUGGCUGAAGGAAGGCUGACAGUGAAGAUGUGAUAGAAACAGAUGUGCUAAAGAUCCACUUGAUGCCCCAUGUCAACUGAAUGAGCUUGGAGAUCAGUGGCAGCAUCAUGAGGUGCUCCAGUGCCUGGUACUCAUAGCUGGCUCAGAGUGUAAAGAGAAAUAUAACUAUUGCUUUACUAUUGCCUUCCAAAUAGCACUUCAUAAUCAUGAAAACAUUCUCUUUUCAUAUUAUCUUAAAUAAUUAAUAUUUUGCACUCAAUUUAGAUCUACAACCAGGAAUGGAUUUCUGUAUCUUGUUUAAGACAAUACUUGUCCCAUCUUGAUAUUUAUUUGGUUCCACUUGCUGUUAAAAAAGAAUACUCUUCCCCUAGACACAUGGCUUUGACAUCCAUAUAAUAAGAGUGGUAUCCACUAUGUAUACAGGUAAUCUACUCUACAUGCCAUGGGUAGCAUAGAACUUGUUUACUAUACUUUAAUAACUCUUGAAGUCUAGUAUUAGAAGUCUAGCAAAAUUAUUGUCCUUUGUCUUUUGGUACUUAGCCUUUUUGUAUAUAUUUUAGAAUUCUUUUGAAAGUCACUGCGAAACAUGUUGUUGAAAUUUUGACAUGGCUGCAUCAAAUCUAUAGGACAACCUGUUGAGAACUGAUAUUUUUUUGAAUACUGAAAACUCUGUGAUUCAUGAAUGUGGCGUGUUCCACGGUUUAUCUAGGUUUAUCUAAGUUUUCUGCAAUGUCUCCCAAUAUAACUAUGCAAUAAACUGUUUAGAAUACACA